GAAUGCUAACGACAUUGACAAAGACAGACAACCUGUAACCACUGCUUUAUCCUUAGCCUGUGAUUCAUUUACUUAGCAGACUACUUGUGUUCUUAAAACCAUUUGAGGCUAGGCAGGCUGACAAAGAGCAUUCCUAGAUCCCUUUCUACGGUUGUAAGAGAUUUGAAUAUGCAGGAUUAGUAUAUGUAGCUGGCAUAUGCUUCUGAGACGUACAGUAAUUCCACUGAAUAGCUUAUUUCUGUUUAUGGAAGUGUGAGGUACUGUCAGCCAACCAUCAAGACACCUACUUUUGUGGGCCACUAUAGUUUAAGACAGCUAUACCUGUGCAGAAGUGCUUGCCAUCUUCUGGUGUGUGAAUACAACGAAUUACUAUAUAGCAGAGGAGCUACCAGACCUCGUUUUCCUUGCAGCUAAAGUCCUUUUUACACUACAAAUAAAGAAAUGUUAAGGUGUAACAUGCAGCUCACCCAGUGAAAGCAUCUAACUUCUUUUAAGACUGUGUGUAACCCAAAAAUCUCAAGUUGGCCACUGAGAGCAGUUCAGUAAGGUAUCCCAGCACUGUAGAAGGAAGAGGCAGAAAUUCUUCAUUUGCAUACACCUGGAAGACAACAGAUUAUGCUGGAAAAUACUUCCUGCACUUCCACUUCAGUGCUGUUGCUCUGGGAUGGCAGGAUGGUGUCUCAAACACCAGGUGCUGGCCAAAGUCCUGUGGUGAAAAGAGUGCAAUAUCCUUAAUGAAAUGGUAAGGCUGUUGGUGUAUGUGAUAUGUGGCAAGGGAAUCACAGAUGAUAUGUGAAUAUAUAUUACUACUGCCAACAUGAACAACAGCUGUAGAGUUACAG
rnacentral:lncRNA from 1 species